AGGAGUAGGUGAACCCGUUCAGGGGUAAACCUGUGAAACCCAAAAGAUCGAAUGAGGAGAUUCAUCGUCUGCGUAUUCAGUAUUAGUGCAGGCUAUGAUGUGAUAAUAGAAUCCUCGUGGUCACUAGAUUAUACUUGCUUGUAUUAUUUUUGCUGGGUAUGUCGGCGUGCACUUCUCCACUAGUAGAACGUCGCAACCCGUUAGAUGUUUAUCUAUGGCCUGAAUGGUAGCCUUCGAUAAUUUUAUAUUGGAGACCUUUGGUGUCCUGAUAAACUGUCUGACGGUAUACAUAUAGUAUUGAGCCGCAAUUAUAUGCGUUAGACUUGUCGCAAGUAAGGCUUUACUUCAGUAGUGCGGAUUUAAUGCCGUCGCUGGACAAAGUCUGCUGUUAGCUGUGCAAUGUCUUUAACUGGCUUAUUACUGGUAGCGAUGCUACUGCUUUGGGUAC
rnacentral:rRNA from 1 species